CCUACGGGAGGCAGCAGUGAGGAAUAUUGGUCAAUGGACGAGAGUCUGAACCAGCCAAGUCGCGUGAAGGAUGACUGCCCUAUGGGUUGUAAACUUCUUUUAUAGAGGAAUAAAACGAGGCACGUGUGCCUCUUUGCAUGUACUUUAUGAACAAGGAUCGGCUAACUCCGUGCCAGCAGCCGCGGUAAUACGGAGGAUCCGAGCGUUAUCCGGAUUUAUUGGGUUUAAAGGGAGCGCAGAUGGGUAGUUAAGUCAGUUGUGAAAGUUUGCGGCUCAACCGUAAAAUUGCAAUUGAUACUGGCAGUCUUGAGUACAGAAGAGGUAGGCGGAAUUCGUGGUGUAGCGGUGAAAUGCGUAGAUAUCACGAAGAACACCGAUGGCGAAGGCAGCUUACUGGUCUGCAACUGACACUGAUGCUCGAAAGUGUGGGUAUCGAACAGGAUUAGAUACCCUAGUAGUC
rnacentral:rRNA from 1 species